UCCCCUAGUAGCGGCGAGCGAAGCGGGAAGAGCUCAAAUUUAUAAUCUGGCACCUUCGGUGUCCGAGUUGUAAUCUCUAGAAGUGUUUUCCGCGUUGGACCGCACACAAGUCUGUUGGAAUACAGCGGCAUAGUGGUGAAACCCCCGUAUAUGGUGCGGACGCCCAGCGCUUUGUGAUACACUUUCAAUGAGUCGAGUUGUUUGGGAAUGCAGCUCAAAUUGGGUGGUAAAUUCCAUCUAAAGCUAAAUAUUGGCGAGAGACCGAUAGCGAACAAGUACCGUGAGGGAAAGAUGAAAAGCACUUUGGAAAGAGAGUUAACAGUACGUGAAAUUGUUGGAAGGGAAACGCUUGAAGUCAGACUUGCUUGCCGGAGCUUGCUUCGGUUUGCAGGCCAGCAUCAGUUUUCCGGGGUGGAUAAUAACGGUUUGAAGGUAGCAGUCUCGGCUGUGUUAUAGCUUUCCGUUGGAUACAUCCUGGGGGACUGAGGAACGCAGCGUGCUUUUUGCGAAAGACUCGUCUUUUUCACGCUUAGGAUGCUGGUGGAAUGGCUUUAAACGACCCGUCUUGAAACACGGGACCA
rnacentral:rRNA from 1 species